rnacentral:rRNA from 1 species
UACAGAGGUCCCAAGCGUUGUUCGGAAUUACUGGGCGUAAAGCGUUCGUAGGCGGCGGGGUAAGUCGGGUGUGAAAUCUCAGGGCUCAACCCUGAAAUUGCAUUCGAUACUACUCUGCUUGAGCUCUGAAGAGGAGGUUGGAAUUUACGGUGUAGCAGUGAAAUGCGUAGAUAUCGUAAGGAAGGCCGGUGGCGAAAGCGAACCUCUGGGCAGCAGCUGACGCUGUGGCACGAAGGCUAGGGGAGCAAACGGG